GAUGAACGCUGGCGGCGUGCCUAAUACAUGCAAGUCGAGCGAACAGACGAGGAGCUUGCUCCUCUGACGUUAGCGGCGGACGGGUGAGUAACACGUGGAUAACCUACCUAUAAGACUGGGAUAACUUCGGGAAACCGGAGCUAAUAACGGAUAAUAUAUUGAACCGCAUGGUUCAAUAGUGAAAGACGGUUUUGCUGUCACUUAUAGAUGGAUCCGCGCCGCAUUAGCUAGUUGGUAAGGUAACGGCUUACCAAGGCGACGAUGCGUAGCCGACCUGAGAGGGUGAUCGGCCACACUGGAACUGAGACACGGUCCAGACUCCUACGGGAGGCAGCAGUAGGGAAUCUUCCGCAAUGGGCGAAAGCCUGACGGAGCAACGCCGCGUGAGUGAUGAAGGUCUUCGGAUCGUAAACCUCUGUUAUUAGGGAAGAACAAAUGUGUAAGUAACUAUGCACGUCUUGACGGUACCUAAUCAGAAAGCCACGGCUAACUACGUG
rnacentral:rRNA from 1 species